rnacentral:rRNA from 1 species
UACGGGGGGGGCAAGCGUUGUUCGGAAUUACUGGGCGUAAAGGGCUCGUAGGUGGCCAACUAAGUCAGACGUGAAAUCCCUCGGCUUAACCGGGGAACUGCGUCUGAUACUGGAUGGCUUGAGUUUGGGAGAGGGAUGCGGAAUUCCAGGUGUAGCGGUGAAAUGCGCAGAGAUCAGGAGGAACACCGGUGGCGAAGGCGGCGCUCUGGGCCGGUACUGACGCUGAGGAGCGAAAGCGUGGGGAGCGAACAGG